AGCCGGGUGGCCGAGUGGUGAGGUAGAGGUCUGCAAAACCUUGUACAGCGGUUCGAAUCCGCUCCCGGCGUC
rnacentral:tRNA from 1 species